ACAGGGAUUGCCUCAGUAACGGCGAGUGAAGCGGCAACAGCUCAAAUUUGAAAGCUGCCAACAGGCCGCAUUGUAAUUUGUAGAAGAUGCUUUGGGUGUCGGCCCAGUCUAAGUUCCUUGGAACAGGACGUCAUAGAGGGUGAGAAUCCCGUAUGUGAUUGGUGCCGGUGCUCGUGUAAAGCUCUUUCGACGAGUCGAGUUGUUUGGGAAUGCAGCUCAAAAUGGGUGGUAAAUUUCAUCUAAAGCUAAAUAUUGGCCAGAGACCGAUAGCGCACAAGUAGAGUGAUCGAAAGAUGAAAAGCACUUUGGAAAGAGAGUUAAACAGUACGUGAAAUUGUUGAAAGGGAAGCGCUUGCAACCAGACUUGCGGGCGGUCGAUCAUCCGAGGUUCUCCCCGGUGCACUCGAUCGUUCUCAGGCCAGCAUCGGUUUCGGUGGUGGGAUAAAGGCUGUGGGAAUGUGGCCCUUCGGGGUGUUAUAGCCCACGGUGCAAUGCUGCCUACCGGGACCGAGGACCGCGCUUCGGCUAGGAUGCUGGCGUAAUGGUUGUAAGCGACCCGUCUUGAAACACGGACCAAGGAGUCUAACAUCUAUGCGAGUGUUUGGGUGUCAAACCCAUACGCGUAAUGAAAGUGAACGGAGGUAAGAGCCCUUUAGGGUGCAUUAUCGACCGAUCCUGAUGUCUUCGGAUGGAUUUGAGUAAGAGCAUAGCUGUUGGGACCCGAAAGAUGGUGAACUAUGCGUGAAUAGGGUGAAGCCAGAGGAAACUCUGGUGGAGGCUCGCAGCGGUUCUGACGUGCAAAUCGAUCGUCAAAUUUGCGUAUAGGGGCGAAAGACUAAUCGA
rnacentral:rRNA from 1 species